CCUCUCCUCUAUCUUCCUCCCUCUCUCUGUCUCUCUGCAUUGUGUCAAUGACAUACUGCAUUAUGUGUUUGAAUAAUGACAUGUUCUAUGUUCCAUAAGGAAGAGGGCCUCCGUCUCUCCCCCGGCCGAGCCGGUGAAUCUGUCAGCAGCCAAGUGGGAGAUAAUAGACAACGUGGUCAGCUCACUACCAGGUCAGACUAGUCACUAGACUCACUAUCAGGUCAGACUAGUCACUAGACUCACUAUCAGGUCAGACUAGUCACUAGACUCACUACCAGGUCAGACUAGUCACUAGACUCACUAUCAGGUCAGACUAGUCACUAGAAACUCACUACCAGGUCAGACUAGUCACUAGAAACUCACUACCAGGUCAGACUAGUCACUAGACUCACUAUCAGGUCAGACUAGUCACUAGAAACUCACUACCAGGUCAGACUAGUCACUAGACUCACUAUCAGGUCAGACUAGUCACUAGAAACUCACUACCAGGUCAGACUAGUCACUAGACUCACUAUCAGGUCAGACUAGUCACUAGAAACUCACUACCAGGUCAGACUAGUCACUAGACUCACUAUCAGGUCAGACUAGUCACUAGAAACUCACUACCAGGUCAGACUAGUCACUACCAGGUCAGACUAGUCACUAGACUCACUACCAGGUAAGACUAGUCACUAGAAACUCACUACCAGGUCAGACUAGUCACUAGAAACUCACUACCAGGUCAGACUAGUCACUAGACUCACUACCAGGUCAGACUAGUCACUAGACUAACUACCAGGUCAGACUAGUCACUAUAAACUUCCCAGUAAAUCCAUAGAGAAUGACAUGUACAAUAUGCCCCUGCAUUCAGAAUGCGUAGAGAGAAGUUUUAGGUUGUUUUUGGGGGGAAAUGUUAUUUCAUGCUAACUU